GAUGAAUGCUGGCGGCGUGGCUAAGGCAUGCAAGUCGAACGGAUUCAAUAACGUCGCAAGACGAUGUUGGAUUAGUGGCAAACGGGUGAGUAACGCAUUGGUAACCUACCCCGAAGUUCAGAAUAACGUUCCGAAAGGAACGCUAAUACUGGAUGUGGUCAUGAAUCAUAAGGUUCAUGAGUAAAGCCCAAAAGGCGCUUCGGGAGGGCCUAUGACUUAUCAGCUUGUUGGU
rnacentral:rRNA from 1 species